AACGCAAAUUGCACUCUCUGGCAACCCGGGGAGUAUGCCUGUUUGAGGGUCAGUGUUAAUAAAAAUCGGUGCGUCGCAAUUUUUUUGUGAUGUUUCCGGAGUUUGAGUUAUCUUAACUCUUCUGGGUUUUUAAGAGGCUUAAAAUUGACCUUUUUUGUGCAUUUUAGACGUACAUAAAUUUUUUUUUUAUUCGUCUAUCUUAAUGCCAAAAUCUAUUAGAUGCGACCAUAUCAUGUGGUUUCGUGUCUAUAAAUUUUUCAUGAUUUGACCUCAAAUCAGGUAGGAACACCUGCUGAACUUAA
rnacentral:misc_RNA from 1 species